ACUGACGCCGUUCACGGCAACUG
rnacentral:snRNA from 1 species